AAUCAAGUUCUUCAUUGGUUUUCGUUUAAGCGGUGUAUAUGGUGAAUCAUAUUGUGCUUGGUGACUAUCCAUCAUAUUACGGUGGAAUUGUGACCUUAAUUCGCUGUUUCCUUCCUUUCUGUCUGAGAUUUAUUUUGCUUUUGGUUUCUUUCAGGAGCUGGGGUCCCACGGGUGAAAGGUCUUUGGUGGUGCUAUUUCUACAUUUGCCGUACGACACUUUUGACAUGUAUGCGUGGGUGUUUUGAGUUCACGGUGAGGUGUGUGUGUGUGUGUGUGUGUGUGGAAGUGUGCUUUUUGAUAAUUAGUGCUGAUCACUCCUGCGGGUAACUCCAGCCCUGUAUGUAAUGAUUUUUUGUUGUUUUGUUCAUUUGGAAGUUGUGUAAAUUUAUUGUUUAAUGUUUUGUGUCCGAUUGUUUAUUUUUUUUUGUUAUUUGUGUAAUUGUCACCGGACCAUAUUCACCAGCGAGAACAUUUUCUUUUUGUUUUUAUAUUUUAAAGCUAAGUUUUCAAUAAACUCUGUAUUGUUUUAUACGA